rnacentral:misc_RNA from 1 species
AAUUCUCAAAACCUUUCCUUUUUGGAAGGAUUUUGGACUUGGAGGCCUUUUGCUGGUUUCACCUUGAAGCGAGCUCCUCCUAAAUGUAUUAGUGGGGUCUGCAUUGUCGGUCCUUGGCGUGAUAAGUCGUUUCUACGUCUUGGAUUUCGGGCGCUGUACACCUGCUUCUAACUGUCUCAUUGACAACGAUGGUGUUCCGGUCACCGCCGAUUUUUCGGUGGGCGGCUUGACCCACGAAACGAA